rnacentral:rRNA from 1 species
GACGAACGCUGGCGGCGUGCCUAAUACAUGCAAGUUGAGCGCUGAAGGUUGGUACUUGUACCAACUGGAUGAGCAGCGAACGGGUGAGUAACGCGUGGGGAAUCUGCCUUUGAGCGGGGGACAACAUUUGGAAACGAAUGCUAAUACCGCAUAAAAACUUUAAACACAAGUUUUAAGUUUGAAAGAUGCAAUUGCAUCACUCAAAGAUGAUCCCGCGUUGUAUUAGCUAGUUGGUGAGGUAAAGGCUCACCAAGGCGAUGAUACAUAGCCGACCUGAGAGGGUGAUCGGCCACACUGGGACGGAGACACGGCCCAAUCGCCGACGGGAGGCAGCCGUAGGGAAUCUUCGGCAAUGGACGAAAGUCUGACCGAGCAACGCCGCGUGAGGGAAGAAGGUUUUCGGAUCGUAAAACUCUGUUGGUAGGGAAGAACGUGGGUGAGAGUGGAAAGCUCAUCAAGUGACGGUAACUACCCAGAAAGGGACGGCUAACUACGUG